UCCCAUACGUAGGCGGACCUAUGAUCGCCCUGUAACACUAAUAGCUCAUCGGAGACAGGUCCGGGAUGCAUAGACGACACGUCCAUGUCGUAUACUGUAAAUUAAACAACAUUAAUUGUAUGUUUGAUCUGUAAAUUAAAUAAUUAUUUUUUAUAAUUAUAAGCUAUUUAAUUGGUCCGGGAUCCAGGCUCGAUAUUUGAUGCCCAGUAGGACCAAGCUAUCCUGAGGUCUUGUGUGUGUCAAUUUUAUUAUUUUUGUAAUUUUGUAUGUUUGUUUUGUAAAUUAAAUAAUUAAUUUUUAUCAUAUUUAAUUGGAUAGAGUAUAUACCUAUGGGUUCUAUGCUCGAUAUUUGAGGCUCAGUAGGACCAAGCUAUCCUGAGUUCUUGUGUGUGUCAAUUUUAUUAUUUUCGUAAUUUUGUAUGUUUGUUUUGUAAAUUAAAUAAUUAAUUUUUAUCAUAUUUAAUUGGACAUAGUAUAUACCUAUGGGUUCCAGGCUCGAUAUUUGAAUCCGAGUAGCACCAAGCUAUUGUGUGUUCUUGUGUGUGUCAAUUUUAAUACUAUCAGAAUUUUGUAUGUUUAUUUUGUAAAUGAAAUAAUUAAUUUUUAUUAUAUGUAAUUGGACAGAGUAUAUAGUUAUAGGUUCCAUGCUCGAUAUUUGAGGCACAGUAGCACCAAGCUAUCCUGAAUUC
rnacentral:lncRNA from 1 species